rnacentral:rRNA from 1 species
UACAGAGGUGGCAAGCGUUGUUCGGAUUUAUUGGGCGUAAAGGGUCCGUAGGCGGUCCGGAAAGUUGGAUGUGAAAUCCCACAGCUCAACUGUGGAACUGCAUUCAAAACUCCCGGACUAGAGUGUGAGAGGGGUAAAGGGAAUUCCCGGUGUAAGGGUGAAAUCUGCAGAGAUCGGGAGGAACACCAGUCGCGAAGGCGCUUUACUGGCUCAUCACUGACGCUCAGGGACGAAAGCUAGGGGAGCAAACGGG